rnacentral:rRNA from 1 species
UACGUAGGGUGCGAGCGUUGUCCGGAAUUAUUGGGCGUAAAGGGCUCGUAGGCGGUCUGUCGCGUCGGGAGUGAAAACUCAGGGCUUAACCCCGAGCCUGCUUCCGAUACGGGCAGACUAGAGGUAGGCAGGGGAGAGCGGAACUCCUGGUGUAGCGGUGGAAUGCGCAGAUAUCAGGAAGAACACCCGUGGCUAAGGCGGCUCUCUAGUACGGUACUGACGCUGAGACGCGAAAGCGUGGGGAGCGAACAGG